GCCAGUGUGUUGUAGUGGUUUGCACAUUGGACUAAGACUCUUGAGACCAGGGUUCGAUACCCCUCUCAGCCA